rnacentral:tRNA from 1 species
GCGGGGGUGGCACAGCCCGGUCAACUGCGCUGGAUUGAGGUUCCAGUGUCUUAGCGACUACGAGAGUUCAAAUCUCUCCCCCCGCA